rnacentral:tRNA from 1 species
AUUAACGUAGCAAAACAGGACAUGCAAAAGACCUAAACUCUUUCAAUAGGGGUCCAAAUCCCCUCGUUAACU